GAUGGCGACCGGCGCACGGGUGAGUAACACGUAUCCAACCUGCCGUCUACUCUUGGACAGCCUUCUGAAAGGAAGAUUAAUACAAGAUGGCAUCAUGAGUCCGCAUGUUCACAUGAUUAAAGGUAUUCCGGUAGACGAUGGGGAUGCGUUCCAUUAGAUAGUAGGCGGGGUAACGGCCCACCUAGUCUUCGAUGGAUAGGGGUUCUGAGAGGAAGGUCCCCCACAUUGGAACUGAGACACGGUCCAAACUCCUACGGGAGGCAGCAGUGAGGAAUAUUGGUCAAUGGGCGAGAGCCUGAACCAGCCAAGUAGCGUGAAGGAUGACUGCCCUAUGGGUUGUAAACUUCUUUUGUAAAGGAAUAAAGUCGGGUAUGUAUACCCGUUUGCAUGUACUUUAUGAAUAAGGAUCGGCUAACUCCGUGCCAGCAGCCGCGGUAAUACGGAGGAUCCGAGCGUUAUCCGGAUUUAUUGGGUUUAAAGGGAGCGUAGAUGGAUGUUUAAGUCAGUUGUGAAAGUUUGCGGCUCAACCGUAAAAUUGCAGUUGAUACUGGUAUCCUUGAGUGCAGCAGAGGUGGGCGGAAUUCGUGGUGUAGCGGUGAAAUGCUUAGAUAUCACGAAGAACUCCGAUUGCGAAGGCAGCUCACUGGAGUGUAACUGACGCUGAUGCUCGAAAGUGUG
rnacentral:rRNA from 1 species